rnacentral:ncRNA from 1 species
GAGAGAGAGAAAGGAGAGAAGGAUAGCACUCCCCUUGAUAAGGAUGGAAGAGGCCCUUGUGGUCUUUGCAACACCCAUAUGGUUAAGGUUACUUAUGACCUGAUUCAAAGUUCCUA